UGGAAAAUAGCUUCUACACUCCACUUCUGGGAUGGUGCAUUUCAAUGGGCACAAAUAUUUUUCGCUGGAAAAAAAAGAAAAUAGAAACAUUCUGAAAACAUCAAAAUGGAUACUGGAUCAAGUCUUGCCCUGCUUGGUCGUGACUAGAAAUCACUACUAUAUAACAAUGUGAG